AGAGUUUGAUCCUGGCUCAGGACGAACGCUGGCGGCGUGGAUUAGGCAUGCAAGUCGAACGGUAGAUACUCCUUCGGGGGUAUUGAGAGUGGCGAACGGGUGAGUAACACGUAGAUGAUCUACCCUCAAAUGGGGGACAACCCAGGGAAACUUGGGCUAAUACCGCAUGAGUGCAGCGCAUAAAUUAUCUUUUGCUGGGUAAUUUAUGCGCUGUAUAAAAGAUGGCUUUCGGGCUGUCGUUUGGGGAUGAGUCUGCGUCCUAUUAGUUAGUUGGUGAGGUAAUGGCUCACCAAGGCGAUGAUAGGUAGGCGGCCUUAACGGGUGGCCGCCCACACUGGGAUUGAGAUACGGCCCAGACUCCUACGGGAGGCAGCAGUCGAGAAUAGUCUACAAUGGACGAAAGUCUGAUAGUGCGACGCCGCGUGAACGAAGAAUCCCUUCGGGGUGUAAAGUUCUUUUAUAUGUGAGCAAUGCUUUUUAUGUGAAUAGCAUGAGAAGAGAGAUAUUAGCAUAUGAAUAAGCAACGGCUAACUCCGUGCCAGCAGCCGCGGUAACACGGGGGUUGCAAGCGUUGUCCGGAAUUACUAGGCGUAAAGGGCAGGUAGGCGGAUCCAUAAGUUUGAUGUUAAAGGCAGCGGCUCACCCGCUGUAGGGCAUUAGAUACUGUGGAUCUGGAAUACGGUUGGGGAAGACAGAAUUCCUGGUGUAGCGGUGGAAUGCGCAGAGAUCAGGAGGAAUACCAAAGGCGAAGGCAGUCUUCUAAGCCGUUAUUGACGCUAAACUGCGAAGGUGUGGGUAUCAAACAGGAUUAGAUACCCUGGUAGUCCACACAGUAAACGAUAAUCACUAGGUGUCGGGUUCGUAGAGAAUUCGGUGCCGUAGCUAACGCGAUAAGUGAUUCGCCUGGGGAGUACGAUCGCAAGGUUGAAACUCAAAGGAAUUGACGGGGGCCCG
rnacentral:rRNA from 1 species